GUGUGAACAUGUCCAAAUUAUUGUUUACGUUACUUUCUGAUGUUCAUAGGCAUUGCAAACAUUGAAAAUAAAAAUGGUCAUGUUUUUUUUUUUUUUUUCAGAAUGACAUUUUCUUUGUAUCCCUGAAACACAAUUAAUAUAUGAACACAGUCGUGAAUGAGUUAAGUUCUAGGUAAUGUAUACCCCACUUCCUUGAGACUGAAAACGUAUUUGUCUGAUUUCCC